rnacentral:rRNA from 1 species
GUGGGGAAUAUUGGACAAUGGGCGCAAGCCUGAUCCAGCCAUGCCGCGUGAGUGAUGAAGGCCUUAGGGUUGUAAAGCUCUUUCACCGAUGAAGAUAAUGACGGUAGUCGGAGAAGAAGCCCCGGCUAACUUCGUGCCAGCAGCCGCGGUAAUACGAAGGGGGCUAGCGUUGUUCGGAAUUACUGGGCGUAAAGCGCACGUAGGCGGGUAUUUAAGUCAGGGGUGAAAUCCCGGAGCUCAACUCCGGAACUGCCUUUGAUACUGGGUACCUAGAGUAUGGAAGAGGUAAGUGGAAUUCCGAGUGUAGAGGUGAAAUUCGUAGAUAUUCGGAGGAACACCAGUGGCGAAGGCGGCUUACUGGUCCAUUACUGACGCUGAGGUGCGAAAGCGUGGGGAGCAAACAGGAUUAGAAACCCUUGUAGUCC